AGUGAACGCUGGCGGUAGGCCUAACACAUGCAAGUCGAACGGCAGCACAGUAAGAGCUUGCUCUUACGGGUGGCGAGUGGCGGACGGGUGAGGAAUACAUCGGAAUCUACUUUUUCGUGGGGGAUAACGUAGGGAAACUUACGCUAAUACCGCAUACGACCUACGGGUGAAAGCAGCGGAUCUUCGGACCUUUCGCGAUUGAAUGAGCCGAUGUCGGAUUAGCUGGUUGGGGGGGUAAAGGCCCACCAAGGCGACGAUCCGUAGGUGGACUGAGGGGAUGAUCAGCAACAGUGGAACGGAGACACGGUCCAGCCCCGGACGGGAGGCAGCAGUGGGAAAUAUUGGAGAAGGGGCGGAAGCCUGUUCCAGCCAAACCGCGUGGGUGAGGAAGGCCUUCGGGUUGUAAAGCCUUUUUGUUGGGAAAGAAAAGAGGCAGGUUAAUACCCCGCUGUUCGAACGGAACCCAAGGAUUAGGCACGGCCAACUUUCGU
rnacentral:rRNA from 1 species